UUACAGUGUAAAAUGAACAGAAAAAGAUGGCGAGACGCAGUUUUAUCGCGCCCGAAUUCUGCUCGUCGGAGAGUCUGAGGACGACCUCGCCAAGAAAAUGACGAAAGGGCGGGUCAGGGUCCCGAAACUCCCUGGUGGUAGUGACAGCGAGGAAAGCGAUCAGAGCGUUCAGACACCAAAAAAAAGAGAAAGAAACGGGAAGAGCCCAGCAGUGCGUUGCUGGACUUACUGGCAUCGAAAAAGAAACAGCUAAAGAAGAAAGAUCAACGAAAU
rnacentral:lncRNA from 1 species